GAUGAACGCUGGCGGCGUGCCUAAUACAUGCAAGUCGAGCGAACAGACGAGGAGCUUGCUCCUCUGACGUUAGCGGCGGACGGGUGAGUAACACGUGGAUAACCUACCUAUAAGACUGGGAUAACUUCGGGAAACCGGAGCUAAUACCGGAUAAUAUAUUGAACCGCAUGGUUCAAUAGUGAAAGACGGUUUUGCUGUCACUUAUAGAUGGAUCCGCGCCGCAUUAGCUAGUUGGUAAGGUAACGGCUUACCAAGGCAACGAUGCGUAGCCGACCUGAGAGGGUCAGCGGCCACCCUGGAACUGAGACACGGUCCAGACUCCUACGGGAGGCAGCAGUAGGGAAUCUUCCGCAAUGGGCGAAAGCCUGACGGCGCAACGCCGCGUGAGUGAUGAAGGUCUUCGGAUCGUAAAACUCUGUUAUUAGGGAAGAACAAAUGUGUAAGUAACUAUGCACGUCUUGACGGUACCUAAUCAGAAAGCCACGGCUAACUACGUG
rnacentral:rRNA from 1 species